UGCAGACGGCGCGGCGACGGGCAGCCCGUCCCGCGUCCGCAAAGGCCGCAUCAUCGUACACGGGCUUAUACGGCGGCCCGUUUCCAUCCGCGUGCGCGUGCGGCGUUGUUGCGGCGGCCGCAAGCCCGCGCUGCCUUGCAGCCUUGCAUGAAACAAGAAUCGUGAAGCUUAUGCUGGUUGCGGCUGGGAGAUGGAAAGUGUGCCCUGUCAGAUACUCAACAAUGCAAAGCCAUGCGUCCUCGGUGGCCAAAGGCGUGGUACUGUGAGGGUGCAGCUCUCAGCUUGCUGAAGGUAUACAAUAUACUAGGCAGUGUAGCAGCUGCGUCAAAUUUAGCCUCGCAACUUAAUAUACUCUACACUUGUAUCUCACAGUAGUUAUACCUCUAUGCUCAGGACUACAAAGGAGCAGCUAAUGCUUUCCUGGAACCACAAAAUUCUGGAUUCCCUGUCCUGAACAAUCAUAUAUCCUCAACACUAAUAUUGCUAUCGGAAUAUCACAAUAAAUUAUAGAAAUACAGUUUUAGAUGAAGGAA